UAGUAGUAGUUAUGUUCUUGAAACUUAAAAAAUUUGGCGGUAUUUUAGUCUAUUCAGAGGAACCUGUCCUAUAAUCGAUAAUCCACGUUGGACCUCACUUAAGUUUGUUAAUCAGUUUGUAUACCGUCGUUAUAAGAAUAUUUUAUUAGAAUAAUAAUUUUCUAGAAUUUUUAUAAAAAUUUAUAUCAGAUCAAGGUGCAGCUUAUAUUUAAGAAGAGAUGGGUUACAAUAAAUUUAUUUAAACGGAUUAAUUUUUGAAAUAAAAUUAUGAAGGUGGAUUUGAAUGUAAAAUUAUAAAGAUAAAUAAUUUGAUUUUAGCUCUAAAAUAUGUACAUAUCGCCCGUCACUCUUAUUAUUAAGGUAAGAUAAGUCGUAACAUAGUAGAUGUACUGGAAAGUGUAUCUAGAAUGCAAUUUAAAGCUUAAAUAGUAAAGCAUUUCAUUUACAUUGAAAAGAUUUUUGUGCAAAUCAAUAUAAAUUGAUUAUAUUUUAUUUAUUAAUUUGUUUAAUUUUUUGUAUUUUAUAUUAGAAAUAACUAUAAAAAAAGUGUUUUAGUAUUUUAUAAAGAAUAAAUAAUAUUUAUAAUAGUGUAUUAGUAUUGUGAAAGAAAA
rnacentral:rRNA from 1 species